AGAGUUUGAUCAUGGCUCAGGAUGAACGCUGGCGGCGUGCCUAACACAUGCAAGUCGAGCGAUUCUCUUCGGAGAAGAGCGGCGGACGGGUGAGUAACGCGUGGGUAACCUGCCCUGUACACACGGAUAACAUACCGAAAGGUAUGCUAAUACGAGAUAAUAUGCUUUUAUCGCAUGGUAGAAGUAUCAAAGCUCCGGCGGUACAGGAUGGACCCGCGUCUGAUUAGCUAGUUGGUAAGGUAACGGCUUACCAAGGCGACGAUCAGUAGCCGACCUGAGAGGGUGAUCGGCCACAUUGGAACUGAGACACGGUCCAAACUCCUACGGGAGGCAGCAGUGGGGAAUAUUGCACAAUGGGCGAAAGCCUGAUGCAGCAACGCCGCGUGAGCGAUGAAGGCCUUCGGGUCGUAAAGCUCUGUCCUCAAGGAAGAUAAUGACGGUACUUGAGGAGGAAGCCCCGGCUAACUACGUGCCAGCAGCCGCGGUAAUACGUAGGGGGCUAGCGUUAUCCGGAAUUACUGGGCGUAAAGGGUGCGUAGGUGGUUUCUUAAGUCAGAGGUGAAAGGCUACGGCUCAACCGUAGUAAGCCUUUGAAACUGGGAAACUUGAGUGCAGGAGAGGAGAGUGGAAUUCCUAGUAUAGCGGUGAAAUGCGUAGAUAUUAGGAGGAACACCAGUUGCGAAGGCGGCUCUCUGGACUGUAACUGACACUGAGGCACGAAAGCGUGGGGAGCAAACAGGAUUAGAUACCCUGGUAGUCCACGCCGUAAACGAUGAGUACUAGCUGUCGGAGGUUACCCCCUUCGGUGGCGCAGCUAACGCAUUAAGUACUCCGCCUGGGGAGUACGCUCGCAAGAGUGAAACUCAAAGGAAUUGACGG
rnacentral:rRNA from 1 species